rnacentral:rRNA from 1 species
UACGUAGGGUGCAAGCGUUGUCCGGAAUUAUUGGGCGUAAAGAGCUUGUAGGCGGUUUGUCGCGUCUGCUGUGAAAUUUCGGGGCUCAACCCCGAACUUGCAGUGGGUACGGGCAGACUAGAGUGUGGUAGGGGAGACUGGAAUUCCUGGUGUAGCGGUGAAAUGCGCAGAUAUCAGGAGGAACACCGAUGGCGAAGGCGGUUCUCUGGGACGGUACUGACGCUGAGACGCGAAAGCGUGGGGAGCGAACAGG